GGAGGGAGCGAGCGUUGUCCGAAGUUACUGGGCGUAAAGCGCGCGUAGGCGGGGAAUUAAGUGAGAAGUGAAAGGCUGGGGCUCAACCCCAUGCAGUGCUUCUCAUACUGGUUUUCUUGAGGGUGGUAGAGAGAAGUGGAAUGGCUGGUGUAGCGGUGAAAUGCGUAGAUAUCAGUCGGAACACCGGUGGCGAAGGCGGCUUCUUGGGCCAUUUCUGACGCUGAGGCGCGAAAGCUAGGGGAGCGAACGGGAUUAGAUACCCCGGUAGUCCUAGCCGUAAACGAUGGAUACUAGGUGUCGGGGGUAUCGACCCCUCCGGUGCCGCAGCUAACGCACUAAGUAUCCCGCCUGGGGAGUACGGCCGCAANGUGG
rnacentral:rRNA from 1 species